GAUGAACGCUGGCGGCGGGCCUAAUACAUGCAAGUCGAGCGGACGAACGGGGCGUGCGCCUGUAUGCAGUGGGGGGCGGGCGGGUGAGUCACAGGUAGAUAACCGGCCGAGAGGGCUAACGUACGGUCGGGGGAGCGAAUCCAGCAUCGGACGAGAGGGUGAAACGCGGGGUUCAAAAGUGAAAGAGGGACUAGCUGUGACUAAGACAGGGAAGCGAGCUGGAUUAGCUAGUUGGUAAGGUAAAGGCGUACCAAGGCUACGAUGCGUAGCUGACCUGAGAGGGUGAUCAGCCACACUGGAACUGAGACACGGUCCAGACUCCUACGGGAGGCAGCAGUAGGGAAUAUUGCGCAAUGGGCGAAAGCCUGACCGAGCCACGCCGCGUGAGUGAUGAAGGUCUUCGGAUUGUAAAGCUCUGUUAUUUGGGAAGAACAUAUGUGUGAGUAACUCUUCCCAUUUUGACGGUACCUACACAGAAAGCCCCGGCUAACUACGUG
rnacentral:rRNA from 1 species